GACGAACCACACAAACAUUAUUCGGAAUUACUGGGCUUAAAGGGUGCGUAGGCUGCGCGGAAAGUUGGGUGUGAAAUACCUCGGCUCAACCGAGGAAAUGCGCCCAAAACUACCGUGCUCGAGGAAGAUAGAGGUGAGCGGAACUUACGGUGGAGCGGUGAAAUGCGUUGGUAUCGUAAGGAACACCUGUGGCGAAAGCAGCUCACUGGGUCUUUUCUGACGCUGAUGCACGAAAGCUAGGGGAGCAAACGGG
rnacentral:rRNA from 1 species